rnacentral:lncRNA from 1 species
GCAUAUGGACAAAUAAUAUAUAUGUGUGUGCGUAACAUAGCUAGGUAGAUAGAUAGAUAGAAUUGAAUGGUGACCUCAGUUCAGUUUGCAGCGCCAGAUUUUGGCUUAUUUCUCAUAGUCAUAGCUAGCUAGCUAGCCUCUUUUGACAUCAUGCAGAUGCAGCAGCAACAAGAAUCGCCGUUCAUCAUCAAGCUAUAGAGAUCCAGAGCUU